rnacentral:rRNA from 1 species
UACGAAGGGGACUAGCGUUGUUCGGAAUUACUGGGCGUAAAGCGCACGUAGGCGGACUUGUAAGUCAGGGGUGAAAUCCCGGGGCUCAACCUCGGAACUGCCUUUGAUACUGCGAGUCUCGAGUCCGAUAGAGGUGGGUGGAAUUCCUAGUGUAGAGGUGAAAUUCGUAGAUAUUAGGAAGAACACCGGUGGCGAAGGCGGCCCACUGGGACGGUACUGACGCUAAGGCGCGAAAGCGUGGGGAGCGAACAGG